UUGGAGGGCAAGUCUGGUGCCAGCAGCCGCGGUAAUUCCAGCUCCAAUAGCGUAUAUUAAAGUUGUUGCAGUUAAAAAGCUCGUAGUUGAAUUUCGGGGUUAGUAGGUUGGUCGUGCCUCAGGCAUGUACUGAUCUCACUGAUUCCUCCUUCCUGAUGAACCGUAAUGCCAUUAAUUUGGUGUUGCGGGGAAACUGGACUGUUACUUUGAAAAAAUUAGAGUGUUUAAAGCAGGCUAACGCUUGAAUACAUUAGCAUGGAAUAAUGAAAUAGGACGUUCGAUCCUAUUUUGUUGGUUUCUAGGAUUGACGUAAUGAUUAAUAGGGAUAGUUGGGGGCAUUAGUAUUCAAUUGUCAGAGGUGAAAUUCUUGGAUUUAUUGAAGACUAACUACUGCGAAAGCAUUUGCCAAGGAUGUUUUCAUUAAUCAAGAACGAAAGUUAGGGGAUCGAAGACGAUCAGAUACCGUCGUAGUCUUAACCAUAAACUAUGCCGACUAGGGAUCGGAUGAUGUUAAUUUUUUAAUGACUCAUUCGGCGCCUUACGGGAAA
rnacentral:rRNA from 1 species